rnacentral:tRNA from 44 species
CGGAGUGUGGCUCAGUCUGGUAGAGCACUGCGUUCGGGACGCAGGGGUCGCAGGUUCAAAUCCUGCCACUCCGACCA